AUCUUGGGAAAUUUCAUCGUGAUGGGGAUAGAUCAUUGCAAUUGUUGGUCUUCAACGAGGAAUGCCUAGUAAGCGCGAGUCAUCAGCUCGCGUUGACUACGUCCCUGCCCUUUGUACACACCGCCCGUCGCUCCUACCGAUUGAAUGGUCCGGUGAAGUGUUCGGAUCGCGGCGACUGGGGCGGUUCGCCGCCCCCGACGUCGCGAGAAGUCCAUUGAACCUUAUCAUUUAGAGGAAGGAGAAGUCGUAACAAGGUUUCCGUAGGUGAACCUGCGGAAGGAUCAUUGUCGUGACCCUGACCAAAACUGACCGUGAACGUGUCACCUACCUGGCUGGUAACGGCUCUGUCCGUUGCUUGGCCAAAAUCCUCAACAACCUCCACUCCUUGGAGUGGGGGCUUGGGGUAAAAGAACCCACGGCGCCGAAGGCGUCAAGGAACACUGUGCCUAACAUGGGGAUGCGGUUGGCUUGCUAGCUGCCCCUUGUGUUGCAAUGCUAUUUAAUCCACACGACUCUCGGCAACGGAUAUCUCGGCUCUCGCAUCGAUGAAGAACGUAGCGAAAUGCGAUACCUGGUGUGAAUUGCAGAAUCCCGCGAACCAUCGAGUCUUUGAACGCAAGUUGCGCCCGAGGCCAUUUGGUUGAGGGCACGCCUGCCUGGGUGUCACGCCAAACACGCUCCCACCCCUCAUCGGGUAGUUGGAUGCGGCAUGUGGCCCCCCGUCUCGCAAGCGGCGGUGGACUGAAGAUUCGGCUGCCGGUGUAUCGUGUCGGACACAGCGCAUGGUGGGUGACCUCGCUUUACUAAUCGCAGUGCAUCCGACCCGUAGCCGAUGUGAUGGCCUUAAGGACCCUAUAAACGGAGCGCAUGACGCUUCGACCGCGACCCCAGGUCAGGCGGGACUACCCGCUGA
rnacentral:misc_RNA from 1 species